GCUCCUUAGGUAAUGUAGGAGAGAAGCUGCUACAAAUAAAUACAAAUUUGAGCCAGCUGUGUUGGUAAAAGAGACCAUUUCCCCUGCACCUCGUAACCUCUUCCAUCCUCAGGUGUGGCAUUUCCUUCUAGCCUCUUCCAUCUGCAGGUGUGGGAUCUCCCAGGGCUGUCUUUCUGCAAAAAGGCUUGGCUUCCUCACCAUUUCCUCCCAGCGGCAUGGCCAGCAGACGGCAUUGCCAGGCAAAAGGAAAGUGGGAGACCCCUUUCCUUGUGCAAGUGAGGAAAUGGAGAUGUGCUACACGUACACACAGGGCUGGAGGUGCUGCUUCUGCCAGUGUCCUGCUCAUGCUCUGACACAGAGCUGCCAGACAGCCAGAGCCUCCUGCAGCUUUCGCAACUAAAAAGAAACCACUGACUGUUGCUAGUAGGAAUCCAGCAUUCUUGACAGCACAGAAUAACUUGCUUGCUCUGUGUGGAGAGCCAUUAAAAAAAAAAAAAAAAA